rnacentral:rRNA from 1 species
AAACUAACAAGGAUUCCCCUAGUAGCGGCGAGCGAAGCGGGAAGAGCUCAAAUUUGUAAUCUGGCGUCCUCCGGGCGUCCGAGUUGUAAUCUAUAGAGACGUUUUCCGUGCCGGACCGUGUCCAAGUCCCUUGGAACAGGGUAUCAAAGAGGGUGACAAUCCCGUACUUGACACGACGACCGGUGCUCUGUGAUACGUUUUCUACGAGUCGAGUUGUUUGGGAAUGCAGCUCAAAAUGGGUGGUAAAUUCCAUCUAAAGCUAAAUAUAGGCGAGAGACCGAUAGCGAACAAGUACCGUGAGGGAAAGAUGAAAAGCACUUUGGAAAGAGAGUUAAACAGUAUGUGAAAUUGUUGAAAGGGAAACGAUUGAAGUCAGUCAUGUCCAUUGGAUUCAGCUGGUUCUGCCAGUGUAUUUCCUUUGGACGGGUCAACAUCAGUUUGAGCCGGCGGAUAAUGGCAGAGGGAAUGUGGCACCCCCGGGUGUGUUAUAGCCCUUUGUCGCAUACGUCGGCCCAGACUGAGGAAUGCAGCUCGCCU